rnacentral:rRNA from 1 species
UUUCCAGACUCCUACGGGAGGCAGCAGUGGGGAAUAUUGCACAAUGGGGGAAACCCUGAUGCAGCGACGCCGCGUGAGCGAUGAAGUAUUUCGGUAUGUAAAGCUCUAUCAGCAGGGAAGAAAAUGACGGUACCUGACUAAGAAGCACCGGCUAACUCCGUGCCAGCAGCCGCGGUAAUACGGGGGGUGCAAGCGUUGUCCGGGAUCAUUGGGCGUAAAGAGUUCGUAGGCGGCACGUAAAGUCUGGUGUUAAAGGCAGAGGCUCAACUUCUGUACGGCACUGGAUACUUGCGAGCUAGAAUGCGGUAGAGGUAAAGGGAAUUCCUGGUGUAGCGGUGAAAUGCUUAGAUAUCAGGAGGAACAUCGGUGGCGUAAGCGCUUUACUGGGCCGUAAUUGACGCUGAGGAACGAAAGCCAGGGUAGCAAAUGGGAUUAGAUACCCCAGUA